GAUGAACGCUGGCGGCGUGCUUAACACAUGCAAGUCGAACGGUGAAGCAGAGCUUGCUCUGUGGAUCAGUGGCGAACGGGUGAGUAACACGUGAGCAACCUGCCCCUGACUCUGGGAUAAGCGCUGGAAACGGCGUCUAAUACUGGAUAUGAGCUGCGACCGCAUGGUCAGCAGUUGGAAAGAUUUUUCGGUCUGGGAUGGGCUCACGGCCUAUCAGCUUGUUGGUGAGGUAAUGGCUCACCAAGGCGUCGACGGGUAGCCGGCCUGAGAGGGUGACCGGCCACACUGGGACUGAGACACGGCCCAGACUCCUACGGGAGGCAGCAGUGGGGAAUAUUGCACAAUGGGCGAAAGCCUGAUGCAGCAACGCCGCGUGAGGGAUGACGGCCUUCGGGUUGUAAACCUCUUUUAGCAGGGAAGAAGCGAAAGCGACGGUACCUGCAGAAAAAGCGCCGGCUACCUACGUG
rnacentral:rRNA from 1 species